UCCUCGUUAGUAUAGUGGUGAGUAUCCCCCGCCUGUCACCGCGGGAGACCGGGGUUCGAUUCCCCGACGGGGAG
rfam:Ciona savignyi cont_37142, whole genome shotgun sequence.